rnacentral:rRNA from 1 species
GGCUCUUUGAAAUAAAUAUAUAAAGAGUCGAACCUGCCCAGUGAUUUUUUAAACGGCCGCGGUACUCUGACCGUGCAAAGGUAGCAUAAUCAUUUGCCCUAUAAUUGAGGGCUUGUAUGAACGGUUUGACAAGAGCAUAACUGUCUCUUAAAAAUUUUAUAGAAUUUGGUUUUUAGGUGAAGAAACCUAAAUAUAAUUGAAAGACAAGAAGACCCUAUCGAGCUUUAGAGCAAUUAAUUAAAAAGUAUAAUUAAAAUAAUUAAUUUUAAUUGAAGACUUUGGUUGGGGCGACUGAGGAACAUAUAAAGCUUCUUUUAUUAAAAUAUGCCUAUAAGCUAUGAUCCAAAAAAUUUGAUUAAAAAAAUUAGUUACCGUAGGGAUAACAGCAUAAUCUUUUUCAAGAGUUCUUAUCGAAAAAAAGGUUUGUGACCUCGAUGUUGGACUAGGAUAUCUUAAAGAUGCAGAAGUCUUUAAAAGUUGGUCUGUUCGACCAUUAAAAUCCU